UGUCACUACUUUCUUAUUAAUCCCAGGAGGAUCAGGAUUACAUGCCAGUUCAACACUGAUUCAUGAUAAGGCCACCUGUGUGCUAUCACUGUUCUCAGCACAAUGGAAGAAAUUUGGGAUAUUUUGUAUAGGAAUUUGUUUCCUCCUGUGUAGUGUGAACGCUAAAUGCUUCCAAGAAUCAACAGAAAAAGUGGGUAGAACAAAGCAAGGAGCCCAAAAUUUCCACUUGUCUUUGAAGAUAUAGGCUGGAAUGAAGAAAUACGAUUUGCAAGUUAGCCUGUGCCCAGUGAUUUCUCCCACCAAAAUGCAGGGAAUGUGAGCAGAGCAAGACGGGGUCAACGGGCAAAAUCUAAUGAAGCAGUCAUAGGAUGGAGAUAUAUAAGAAUAAUCAAGGAUUCUCUAGCAAGGGAAGCUGCUCUUGCAGGAAGGCAAAGAACUAUUUUCUAAGAAGAAACGGAAGUUUUUGCCAGCCAUCAAAGAGUAUGCUGUAAGGGCGACUUCCAAGGAGAGCAAGGUGAAACACUUUGCCCCAUCUUCGUUUCCUCCAAGCUUCCCAAGUGUGUGAGACAGCAAAAGGCUGGAGGAACUCAUUGCUGCAAGCAUCUCUGUGGUGGUGAUGGAGCCAAGCGCAGCAGCAGGCCAGCCUGGCUUUUCCCCUUGCUGGAAAGGAGCCUGUGCAACAGCAGUAGCAGGUCAGGUGGAGCCACGUCUGGCCUUGCUCCUGUCUUCUUGAGCACUGCUGAGCCGGAGGCUACGCUCAGGCUGCAGGGAAGCCACAGAAGCUGUGCAGGGAGGCAGGGGUGGAAGGCAGGGAUUUUCUGCAGUAUCCCCUCCCUCCACACAGCUUGAAAUAAUUUACAAGAAACCUCCUGAUUUCACAUGUUUGCCUAUCCGUGAAGCAUUCCCCAGUAAUUCAGUUCUGAUUAAAGAAAACAAAGAACUACUUUUAUUAAGUGCUAAAGAAAUAUUUUUAUUAUUGCCAGUGCCCAGAUAAUUCAAACCAUCUGGAUUAUAUACAGCAUUUUGAGCAGAAACAUCAUUAGUUACAAGAAACAUCUCCUACCCCUCUCUGGUACCUGAGGUGACAAGGUGAUGGCCUCAGAAGUGUGUAUCCUUAUUAUCCUAUCAUGAGAAAAAGCUGAACACAGAAGGUUCCCUAUUCAGAAACACACAGUCAGAGUGUUUCUUAGCUACCUACAUUGGCUAUUAACAUAUAAAUAGGCCAGAGUCUAGAAGGUUUAUCUACACUAAGAAGAAUCCCACAUCUUGAACAUUCCCACCCUAUUUUAAAAUUAUCAACAUUUUUGCUUUGUUUUGAGCAAAAUGGCUGAAAUUUUUACAUAGCUGGCACCAGCUGCAGAGUGCAGUUCUGGUUCUGAUGCUGAGGUUGCUCCCAGGGCUCCCAGUCCCUGCAGUAUUGCCUUCCAUGCAAACAGGAAAAAAGGUUGUCUCCUUGAGCAGAAGGUAUGAGUAACAUGAAGUAAGGAAGAAAACAAGUUAAUCAGGUUUUGAUUUACUUAGCUAUAAGAAGAAAAAAACUGUCUCUCUGUCUUUCCUUCUAUUCAUUUCACUCUGAGUUUUGAGGCACCUUGAUUUUACCUUGCUACACCAAACCCAGAUCACCUUUACAAAUUCCUUGACUUAAAUAAAGCAAAGCUGCAAACAAAUCAGAUAAAAAAUUGCAAGGUUAAGUGUUGGAGAAGUAUCUGGAAUAACUUCAAAGCAGAUCUUUAAAAAUUGCCAUGACAGCAGCCUUUCAACUGUGUUCUGAAGAAACAGGAAAGUCACUAAUGAUGGUCCUGAUAUUUCUGCCCUCAGAGUCUAGAGUUUUGGCUUAGACUUCAAAGGGAAUGAUGCUCACACCUUCUAUUUGCAAUAUAAAGCUUUCUUUAUGAUCAGUCUGCAAAGCAACAGGUAUUGCUGCUCUUUCAUGUGGACUGGAAGAUGUGCAAAGGGAAGCUUCCCACUGAGAUGAGCUCAGCUCAGCUCCCUCUGCCUGCGCUGGGAAAGGCUCUUUUCUGGAUCGCUGUGCAGCUGUUGCAUACAAAGAUGCUUGUUCAAGUCUUAGCUGUGAGCACACUGAUGUACUCUCAGCA